ACAGCAGUCUCUAUAAACUAUGUGACAUGUCUCUGGUCAAACACUGAUGGGUCUUGUUUGGAUUAACAGUUCAAAAAGAUGGUGCAGAGAUGUUUCCACUGACGUUGGCAAAGUUUGAAGUUGUGGUCACAGAGACAGGAGGGACGUACCUGACAAGAUCUCACCACUUUCAUCAGUUGACCAAACGCACCGUUGACCAAGCCGUUCAAUGUGUCCAAGUUUCUGGUCAGCAUGACACGAGCUCCCUCUGCAACAUUGAGAGUGUCAGACUCACUGUGUUCUGAACAUGGAAGUCGUAUCCAACCAGAGUUAUAGAAGGACUGAUAGGUUUGGUACCUCUGUGGUUUCAGGUCCUGCUCUGAUCUGUGUGGAAGCUCAUUUAGGAGAGGAAGAACACCAUUUUUUGGAUUUGGACCACUCACAAACCGGCACAAAGCAGCAAAAUCAGCUAGGGACAUUUCCUCAUACUCUUCUGUCUCAGGUCUGCAUUUGUAUUUAUCUCCCAAACUUGUCAUCCAAAUGUUAUCACUUUCAUCGGUUGUUGUUUCCAGGAAGCUCAUCGGACGGCUCAUUUUCACUGGGUUAUCAUCAGUUGGUACAAAGACAACACUGCGGGAGCAUUUUUUCAUUUUCAAGCCACAGACUCGAGUUACACACUCCUGAGCACUGAUUUCUCUCUUCUUUGAAUAGGCCUGCAUCACAGCUCUCAUUUCAUCACAUUCGUUCACAGUGCUUUUGUCAGAGUUAUCAAUAACUGUUUUCAGGUAGUCAGAAAGCUCACUUUCCUUCUUAGUGAUGUACUUAGUAAGAUAUUGAAUACAUGAAUAGGCAUUCAGUAUGAAGGACACAUCUAUGUUGGCAUCCCAGGCUUCAAGCAGGUGUUGGUUAUAAUUAUUGAUCCAACAGUCUGUUGGGUCACGUUUCAGAAUGAUGGCAGUCUUUUUGUUCAUGGCGUGGAGACUUUGCUCAUAUUCAGACAUUGUCAAGUUGCAUCGUGACAGAAUCUGCUCAAUAGUUAGAGAAGCAGCUUCAGGUUCAUUCAGCAGGUCCAUCACUGGUCUGAGUUUGUUUUUUGCAGCUUCAGUGUCUGAAGUUUCAUCGUGUCUGACAAUCA